AACGCGAAGAACCUUACCUGGGCUUGACAUGCUAGGAUUAUCUCUAUGAAAGUAGAGUAGGCCCUUCGGGGUACAACUAGUACAGGUGCUGCAUGGCUGUCGUCAGCUCGUGUCGUGAGAUGUCGGGUUAAGUCCCUUAACGAGCGAAACCUUUGCCCUUAGUUACCAGCGGGUUAUGCCGGGGACUCUAAGGGGACUGCCGGUGUCAAACCGGAGGAAGGUGGAGAUGACGUCAAGUCCUCAUGGCCUUUAUGCCCAGGGCCACACACGUGCUACAAUGGGGUGCACAAAGCGAACCUAAAACGCGAGUUCCAGGAAAUCGCACAAAUCACCCCCCAGUUCAGAUCGGAGGCUGCAACUCGCCUCCGUGAAGUUGGAAUCGCUAGUAAUCGCGGAUCAGCUACGCCGCGGUGAAUGUGUUCCCGGGCCUUGUACACACCGAUAGC
rnacentral:rRNA from 1 species